UACGAAGGGGGCUAGCGUUGUUCGGAAUCACUGGGCGUAAAGGGCGCGUAGGCGGCUAUUCAAGUCGGGGGUGAAAGCCUGUGGCUCAACCACAGAAUUGCCUUCGAUACUGUUUGGCUUGAGACCGGAAGAGGUAAGUGGAACUGCGAGUGUAGAGGUGAAAUUCGUAGAUAUUGGGAAGAACACCGGUGGCGAAGGCGGCUCACUGGCUCGUAUCUGACGCUCAGGCGCGACAGCGUGGGGAUCAAACAGG
rnacentral:rRNA from 1 species